AGUGAACGCUGGCGGCAGGCCUAACACAUGCAAGUCGAACGAAGUCUUCGGACUUAGUGGCGGACGGGUGAGUAACACGUGGGAACGUGCCCUUUGGUUCGGAACAACUCAGGGAAACUUGAGCUAAUACCGAAUGUGCCCUUCGGGGGAAAGAUUUAUCGCCAUUGGAGCGGCCCGCGUCUGAUUAGCUAGUUGGUGGGGUAAUGGCCUACCAAGGCGACGAUCAGUAGCUGGUCUGAGAGGAUGAUCAGCCACAUUGGGACUGAGACACGGCCCAAACUCCUACGGGAGGCAGCAGUGGGGAAUCUUGCGCAAUGGGCGAAAGCCUGACGCAGCCAUGCCGCGUGAAUGAUGAAGGUCUUAGGAUUGUAAAAUUCUUUCACCGGGGACGAUAAUGACGGUACCCGGAGAAGAAGCCCCGGCUAACUUCGUGCCAGCCGCCGCCGUAA
rnacentral:rRNA from 1 species